AUUAAGUUCUCAUGCAGCACUUUGACUUUUGUCAUCACUUUCUUUCAGAUGCAGACAGGUUAAAUCCGUGGCAGAGAGCCCCAUACUGGAUGAGAGUGUUCGCACAGGAAGGAGGUAAAGCCAGAUAGCAGCAGUCAAGGUGAAGUGAGCGAGGCAGUCCACUUGUAUUAUGCUGAACCUCCUCGCCAACCAGUGGACAGUCCCGGCUCGCUGCCCUCAUGAGCCCUCUGGAAGUAUUACAGGACUCUGCAAUAAAGCAUUUACAUUUUCCAUUCGAAGGUAUACCCCGCGACGACGGCGUCAGCCUCUAAGCCUGCGGCCCUAGGACCUCGGCCUUCUUAGGAGAUGCCGACUAAAGAGAAAACAGCCCAACAACGGCUGGAGCUUCCCGGAUGGUGAGGCGGCCUUCUUUUGCACCCCAGGUGGAUUCACAUCCCAGGACAUCUGAGAGAUAAGUCAAGGGGAUGAAAGCGGGGUAUCGAGUCGGGGCUUGCUGGGAGGGAUUUUUGAAUCAGCUCUGGAGAUGGGGAUACCCAAGAAGCGGCCCCUUAGGCCACAUAAAGUCUCACAUUUGAUCACAAUGCCGAGGUGCACAGGGCAGAGCAGUCCCGGUGCAUGUUGUGUCACUUGUCUAUCGUGCGUUCCCUGUCUUUCAGACAUCUUGUGUCGCAGGUCUUUUGCCUUAGCCCUUUGAUGUGCUUGCAGUCAUUCUUAUCGCCGAGAGUUUUCUCUCCUCGUUGCAUCCCCUCUUUUGUGAUCUCCCGUGUCACGGGUGCCUGAGUGGGUUUGGCCCGGAGCUGCUCUGCCCUGCUGCACACUCUGGUGUAUGGGUGUGGUGGGAGAGGGCCUGGGGACUUGAAAUUUGUAGUGUAGGGGAAAAGGGCAGGAAAUGUGAGAGGAGGAAAGGGCAGGAAACAUGAGGGAAAAAGAUGGGAAAUGGGAGGAGACACAGGUGUGAAACAUAAGGGAAAAAAGGCAGGAAACAUGAGGCCAAAAAUGAUGGGAAAUGUGAGGGGGUGGAAGGGCGGGAAGCAUGAGAGGAAAAGUGGUGGGAAACUUGAGGGGAAAAGGGUGGGAAAUGUGAAUAAAAAUGGGAAAAUGGUGGGAAAAAUGACACGAGUCCAGGGGUGCUUUGUUUGGGGUCCUGCUUGGAUUCAGCAGCUCCAGCUGUUUCUGUGUUACUGCACCAUAAAUAAAUGGCUUUGUGGAACAAGA